GACGGGAGGUGCAAGCGUUGCUCGGAAUCACUGGGCGUAAAGGGUGCGUAGGCGGCUUGGUAGGUCUGGUGUGAAAGCCCCGGGCUCAGCCCGGGAAGGGCACUAGAAACUGCCAAGCUAGAGUGCCGGAGGGGAGAGUGGAAUUCCUGGUGUAGCGGUGAAAUGCGUAGAUAUCAGGAGGAAUACCGGUGGCGAAAGCGACUCUCUGGACGGCAACUGACGCUGAGGCACGAAAGCGUGGGGAGCAAACAGG
rnacentral:rRNA from 1 species